GGUCAAGCACCACAUAAUUUAAGCAAACCCAACUCCGCCAGGUCCGGAAGGAAGCAACGGUCAGUUUGACUUACUUGUAUGUGGAACGCUUGGCCUUU
rnacentral:SRP_RNA from 1 species